AAACAAUAAUAAAGUACUGUGAAGUAUCUGACAUUUGCUUCAGGCACUAACAAACAAUCUAACGGCAAGUAACAAACGUCCGUCGGGGUAACUCCCACUCCUAACCACAGUAACUAUCAACCCCAACCACGGUAAUUUUACUUGAGUUAACAAUUUAGUACCUCUAAAAUUACUGGUAAUUGUCUCUGGUAGAGAGAGAAGUACCAAAUCCAUCAAAUCCGAAAACCCAGUGCGAGAGAGAUGAAGUUUCAAGCUUGCUAGAUAUGCGAAGGGGAUGCUUGUAGUUCCAAGCUCGAUAGAUCUGGGAACGGGUUUAAGAUCUGUGAAUCCGUGGUUGUUACAUCUCGCAGAGACGAAGAUGUCUUUGAAUGAAGAAAAUGAUGGAUGUGGUAAUUGCAUGGAAAACUUGAGUGAUGGAAAUUGUGUUAGCUUGGCUGAUGACAUCAAUGACCCAGACAUAGCUACGGUUUCAUUGUCUGGUUGUUCUGACUUUGAUUAUAUGGAUAGAUGUUGGGGAGGGUAUGGGGCUGCAACUGCCUCCAAUCUCCCCAAGUUUAAUCCCCAGGGGGGCACAGGUCUAUUAUUCCCCAAUCCAGACUGUCCGUACUGUGCAGACUGUGGAGACAGUUGUCUCAACAAACAAUGAUGUGCCUUAUGUAGUAGAUCCACCAGCAGAGAGUAUGGUCUUCAAAAGUUGGCUGGAUAUUGAGGCCCACUUUAAACAGUAUGCAGAACAACAUGGUUUUGGAGUUAGUAGGGUUUCAAGUGCGUACAAAGAUAAAACUAGAGAGCGUAGGGCCAUUACUUGGAGGUGUGAAUGCUGGGGUGCCCCUGAUAUGAGGGCGCAAAGGGAGGCAAAGAAGAGGGCGAAGGCCAUGGAUGUUAGUGGAACCGGGGGCAAUGUCAAUGGUGUGAUAGGGCAAGAUGAGCUGAAAAAGGGCCAACGAAAAUAAAAAAAGUGUCACUGUGAAGUAGAAGUUUAUGCUAGUAUUAACGGCAAAGGAGAAUGGGUAAUAAGAUCUGUGCACCUUGAACACAAAGGACAUAAACCCACCCCUAGCAAGGCAAAUCUGGUGAAAGAAUAUCGAAUGAAGAAUUACACUUCAACGGUUCGUAAAAGGCUUUUCAACUUUGUUGAGGAGGGUGUUCCUGUUUCUCGAAUACGUGGGGGUUUAUCCCAUGAAAAGGAUAAAUUGCCUAACGUAAAGGAUUUGCAACACGAGGUGUACAAGGAGAGGAGAUUGAAAAUGGAGGGUGGGGACGCUGUAGCUAUGAUGAGGUAUUUUGAAAAGAUGCAAGCCGACAACCAGAACUUCUUCCAUGCACAUCGUUUGGAUGAAGAAGGCCGGCUCAAGGAUGUGUUGUGGGUAGAUGCAAGGAGCCGGGCUGCUUAUGAUCACUUUGGGCACGUUGUAUGCUUUGAUGCAACGUAUUUGACGAACGAGUACGAGCUCCCAUUUGCAAAUUUUGUCGGCGUCAAUCAUCAUGGACAGUCAAUUCUAUUGGGGUGUGCCCUUGUGUCACAUGAGACUUGUGAGACCUACGCUUGGGUCUUCAAACAAUGGCUAUCGUGCAUGGGCAACCGUCCACCAUUAGGUAUUCUUACUGACCAAGCAGCUUCAAUGAGGAGACCACUGGCUGAUAUUAUGCCUUCAUCUCGACAUAGGUGGUGCAUAUGGCACAUUAUGAGUAAGUUUGGCGACAAGCUUGGCAAAUGCAAGUGGUACAAUGACUUCAAAAGUCCACUAAAGGCUCUCAUUUAUGAAAGCUUUACUGUAGAUGAGUUUGAGCUCCGUUGGUGUGCUUGUAUUAAGCAAUACGAACUUGAAGAAAAUGAAUGGCUUCAGGAUUUGUUCAAUGAGCAUCAUAUGUGGGUUCCAUGCUUUAUGAAAGAGCACUUCUGGGGUGGUAUGAAAACGACCCAAAGGGUGGAGAGCAUCAAUAACUUUUUUGAUGGGUUUGUGAACCGGAAGACCAAGCUUUUUGAGUUUCCCCAGAAAUACACCAGAGCGAUGACUAAACGAGUCGAAGAUGGAACUGAAGCUGAUGCAGAUCAACAAAGUAUGUUAGAAGGUUGGUUAGUUGGUUUAAGGUUGAGAGACUUUAUCAAAAAAUUUACACAGAUGCCAAAUUCCAAGAGAUCCAAAAAGAAUUGUCGAGGAUGAUGUAUUGUUAUGGGAGGGAGGAAAGGGUUGUUGAUGAUAAUACUGUCCAUUACUACCUUGAGGAUCGCGUGUGGGUGGUUCCGGAAGGUCUGAGUGAAGAGGUUAUCACUGACAGAAGGCGCAUAUACUGUGUGAAGUUUAGUUGAGAGUCAAAAGAGGUGAUUUGCGAUUGCUGUAAAUUCGAAACUUUUGGGAUCCUAUGCAAGCAUUGCAUCCGUGUCCUAGACCAAAACCUAGUGUUUGAUAUACCGAAAAAGUAUAUUUUGGACCAGUGGCGCAAGGAUGUUAUAAGAAAGCACACUCGGGUCAAGGUUGCCUAUCACGAUUCGUCCGACACAAAGGAGGUUCAAAGGUUCAACAAGAUAAUGAAUCUGUUCGAACCUAUUUGUAAUGAAGCAUCGAUGGUUGAUGAUGAUACAGUUGAGAUGGUCACGUCUACUCUGUCUAAGCUCAAGAUUGAUGUCAGUGAUCGGAGGAAGAAGUUCAUCGAAGCAAAUGGUGUAAUGACUCUCCCUAGCACACAAUAUCCCACUUCCGGAAAAGGAUCCACGAGUAGCUUGCAAACUCCAUCUUCUGUCAGAAAACAAAUGAUCACAAAUAGUCAUGAGGUUGUGGACUGUGAUGAAGUUCCUGACCAAGUGGUAAGUCAGCACACCCAUGUACCUGAAUUGAGCCAGCACUUACUUGAUCCCAAUGUCAAAAAGAGACGUCGAGGGAGGCCUAAAGGAUCUCGCAACAAACCCUACUCAGAGACAGGCUACAAAUCCACAAAAAAGAAACAGGGAAAGGAUGUGCAGCCUACAUCUGAUGUGCAGCCUGGAGAUGCAGAUACGAAUAUGGAAAUGGACCUACCUCUGAGUGCUAUGCGUGCUAUGAUACCAAAGGUUACCGCUGUGCCGGCUAAGGGAAGGAGGAAAUACAAGAAACAUAGCAGGAAUACUACUGUGAAAUUGGCUACAUGUUUUGAAGAAGAAGAAGAGGUUUUAAUGUAAUUCUGAAUACAACCCAGUUGAAUGGUGAUUAUGUUAUGAUCAGGAUAAUUUGUGUUAUAGAAUCUUUGACAUUAUCCGAACUGUUUGUAUUGUGAUAGCGUCGGGAUGUUUGUUAUGUCGUCGUAUCGUUUAGCUCCUUAUCCUUAAGACUAUUGAACUGUUGUUUAGCUCCUUUUGUCACAUCCAUUAGUUAUUACUUUGUUAGGUGGGAACCUUUUCUGAAGUGUGUUAAGGGUUUGCUUGAAACAACGAGGUAAUGGACGUUGAACCGCCCAAUUCUAGGCUUGUUGCCGUCGUCAAGCUUCAGUAUGGGAGUGGGACUAUUGCUCCGCGCAGGUCGACGGAGAUUUUUCUCCUUAGGAAUAUCAUCAUGGUCUACGAUGACUUCUUCGGGGUUGUGGUUAGCACAACGACUGCCAACUAGGCCAGCAUGCAUCUGCUUCUUGACUUUCACAAUUGUACACCAUGGUACUUGUACAGGAUUGGUGGUAAUGGGUUAUGGAGGGCUUCAAAAGCAUUGUUGCUCAAGGUUGUCCUUAAGAGACGGUUGGCUUUCUUCCCACCCUUUUUUGUUAGGUGCAUGCGAGCCGUUGGAUGAUGAUCCAUUGGAUGAGGAUACUUUGGAUUUGUUGGAUAACAAGGAUGGAUUAAGGGAAGGCUUCAUUUUUGUGAAGAUAAUAGUACUUUGAUUGUGUUAGUUGUGAUUUUUUUCUGUUCCAACAAAGCCCUUUUUAUAACAAGAGUCCUAUUAGGGUUUACACCCUUUAUUUUUACUGUGGUAGAGAAGGGGUAAAUAAUCGUACAAGGUCUGUCCAUAUCUACAUUGCAAUGCUGGUCAAUAUUUGAUUAUGAACUUUGCUUCACGGUUUUACA